rnacentral:rRNA from 1 species
AGCCCAUUCGCCGCCGCCGUCGACCUCCUCGCGCUGCUCUUCGCCGACCUCCUGCGCCGCCACCCCGCUGACGCCGUCAUGUUCGACGGUGUCCUCCUGUGGGCCGCCACCGCCGCCGCCGAGCUCGGCAUCCCGCGGUAUGCAUUCACCGGCACGGGCUGCUUCAUGCUCUUGGUGCAGCGGUCCCUGCUCCUCCACACCCCGCAGGAGAGAGUCACGUCGCCCACAGAGUCGUUCCUUGUGCCAGGCCUCGUCCGUACGAACCCGCCGCUAAGAAGCGGCAGUGCGGCGCCCGCCGCGAACGCCAGAGCCGACGCGCCCGCUGCCAGCGUCGGGCUCGGCAGGUUGCUCCUGUCGCCGCUGCCCCCGUCGACGUCGCGGGUACGCUUGAUCUGGGGUCACCUCAAUUUCAUACUGCACGUACACGGACACGAACUCACCGAUGGCCAUGUUGCAGGCGCCGGACACGAGCCCCGCGACGCCCGACCAGGCGUAUGUCUCCGCGGUGUCCUGCUCCGACUGCCGCUUCAAGCAGCGCGCCCUGGCGCCGGCGUCACCGGGAGCCGUCAUCCGCUCGCUGUUCGUCUCCCUCACCGGACGGUCCACUCCGCGCUCCUCGCCGUCUCCGACGUCUCCCUCGGAAGGCGACGCGAGUGA